rnacentral:rRNA from 1 species
AGAAUGAACGCUGGCGGCGUGCUUAACACAUGCAAGUCGAACGGAAUCCAAGGAGCUUGCUCUGGAAGAUUUAGUGGCGAACGGGUGAGUAUCACGUGAGCAACCUGCCCCGAAGACUGGGAUAACACCGGGAAACCGGUGCUAAUACCGGAUACCUUCCAAUGACCGCAUGGUCGAUGGAAGAAAUGUUUUUCGCUUCGGGAGGGGCUCGCGGUCCAUCAGCUUGUUGGCGGGGUAACGGCCCACCAAGGCUUCGACGGAUAGCUGGUCUGAGAGGACGAUCAGCCACACUGGAACUGAGACACGGUCCAGACUCCUACGGGAGGCAGCAGUGGGGAAUCUUGCGCAAUGGACGAAAGUCUGACGCAGCAACGCCGCGUGAGGGACGAAGGUUUUCUGAAUUGUAAACCUCUUUCGACAGGGACGAUAAUGACGGUACCUGUAGAAGAAGCACCGGCCAGCUAUGCGCCAGCAGCCGCGGU